AUCUUCCAUCUGCUCCUCAGCUGAUCGGCAAAGGGAUGCGACCUACGUGCUCCAAGCCGGGGCAGCGACUCGCAGAGCGGGGGAAGAAAGCAGCAGCGGGUUUGCAGCUCAGCGGGAAGGAAAACUGACGACCUGCAUGCAGAAAAUGUGGGGAAGGGAAACACUAAAAAGGGAGCAGACAGAGCUGAAAGAGAAAGAACCGGCAAUCUAAAUGCAGUUAGGUGAAAAAGGGACCCGCUGCCUUUAUUAACUUUCUUUCUGGGAAGCGCCGCUAAAGCAGCCUUGCUCAGCUUACAGAGGAACGUUGGGCAGACCUACCCUAUCUGUGACUACUGCCAAAAUUCCAAAGGCAUCCUACCUCCCUGGGAUUACUUGCAUUUCUGGCGUGAAGGAUCUCAGCAGGUGGCUGUGCGGGGGCAAUGUGCCCACUCCUCAGUACUGGCCCACUUCGCUGGUGCAUUGGCAGCCUGUCAUGUACGCUCAUCUCCAUAUAAAUAUUGCUUAGGCUCCGAAUUUGGCCAGUUGUGAGAUUAUUGCACCAUCUGUAAUCUGCAUGCUCUGAACCUCCGCCUGGCUUGCUGGCCGUGGGGCUAUCUUCACAUCCCUGCUGCAUCUCCUCCUCCCAUGCCCACGUGUGCUCGGUGGCAGCAUCCAGCAUUGAUGGCUUGGCUGUGGCUAGCAGGGAGAGCAAUCGCUGUGAAGAUGUGUCAACACUGUCGACUGCCAACACAAGGAGGCAACCUGAACAUAUGCCCAGAGCUCCUUAAGAAUUAAGCAGUUACUGCACAACCUUGCGGGUAUUUCCACACAACCAUGGUGACCUGUGCUAGUUAGAUUAAUGGCAGAGCAGUGCCAUCAGCGCACCUUCACAGGGCUUUGUGGGCUAAUCCCUCAGCAAGUGGGGAAAGGGAGGCAGCACAAGUGAGAUGUGAGAGGGAUCUCUUGGCAUGUGUGUGGCACUAAGGUAGGAAGGAGCCACCGAUAAGAGAACUGAAGGCUAACGACCCACACUAGGCUCUGAAAUAGAAAAGACGGUGGUGGAAAAAUAAACCAUGGUCAAACACUGUAAUGAAGAGACUGAGUGAUACUCAAAACCCAACUGGACAUGGUGCAGGGACCAUGCUCCAGCUGACCUUGCCUUGUGAAGGGGAGUAGGGCUGGAUGGUCUCUAGAAUACUCUUCCAGCCAAUUUUCCUUUUUCAAACUCAUCAGGGACUCCAACUGCCACUUCUUGAGAGGAUCAGUAUACUUCUCAAACUGAUUUCCUCAAAAGACUGAAAAGUGCUAAAGAUGCAUGAUCUUAGAGAUAACUCACAAAUUCUCCAAGACUUACACUUUUAGGUAAACAUUUGACUUAGACAAACAUUUGACCCCUAAAAACAGGCUAUAAAGUGCUUCCUGAUUUACUGUUAAUGACUGCAUCAAACAGAGCAGCGAUGAAUUCAAGGCCAAGAUCAGGCCCUUUGGGCAAGUCCCAAAACUUCUAGCUCCUGUGAGCAAAAAUUCCUACGACGGAAUCAUGAUACAGAAUAAUCAAGUCAUUUAUCCAAGUCAUAAAGGAUCGGAGUUUUGACAGCGAUUUCAAUGAGAGGGCAGUGAGGUCCUUUGGGUUGGGCUGUAUUUUCCAAAGAACCAGACCUGAUUCCUAACUCUGGAGAUAUGUUCAAAGUACAGGGCUAUAUAUUUUAAAUAGAAACUCCUUUUAAUAACCUGGAUUUAAUGCAUUUUACAAUGUAUUUAUUAUCUCACACUGUGAUAUUUUGUAACUUAGAUUUUCAGCUAACGAGUAGCUCAUCUAAUAAAAAUAAUGAUUUUUUCAUGCUGUACUACAUGGAAACUUAAAGUAUUUCAAUUAAACAAACCGCCUC
rnacentral:lncRNA from 7 species